UCGAGAAUCUUCGGCAAUGGGCGAAAGCCUGACCGAGCGACGCCGCGUGCGGGAUGAAGGCCUUCGGGUUGUAAACCGCUGUCAGUUGGGAGGAAGGCGCUGUGAAGAGCAGCGUUUGACCGAUCUUCAGAGGAAGGACGGGCUAAGUUCGUGCCAGCAGCCGCGGUAAGACGAACCGUCCGAACGUUAUUCGGUAUCACUGGGCUUAAAGAGUUCGUAGGCGGCCUAGCAGGUGAGGUGUGAAAUCCAACGGCUCAACCGUUGAAUUGCGCUUCAAACCACUAGGCUCGAGGAUGGCAGGGGUGUUGGGAACUGAUGGUGGAGCGGUGAAAUGCGUUGAUAUCAUCAGGAACACCGGUGGCGAAGGCGCAACACUGGGCCAUAUCUGACGCUGAGGAAC
rnacentral:rRNA from 1 species